AAAGACAUCGUUAGUAUAAGUCUUAUCAAUCACCCAUGGAGAAGUGCUUGAAGCACACCAGCAUCCACGGACUCUUGCUGCUUUCAAUGAUUCUUUUGGCAUCCUCAGUCGUCAUUCAUGCACGCAUACCAAGCGGUAAUCGAUGAAGUAGCUAGAGUCAUUUUAUUAGUGCAAGUAAAUAUACGUACAUUGUGUUCGUUCUGAUUUAAAUUUGCAUGCACAUAAUAUAACUCGAAUGACAUUUAUUAGGCCAAACCAAAGAAGACACCAACGACGCUAGGAGCGUGAUGAUGACCACGAUGAGGGUAGCAAGCAACAAAAUUGCCAACAAUGGAGAAGCUUCUAGCGUGAUGCCCGCCUCCGGAAUAUAUCCUAUUGGAUCUUACGUCUGCAGUGACACUGGUACGGUUUAUAGUAGCUUUCCGGAGUGCGUCGCGCAUUGCAUUCGCGGAAGCUGCCAUAGGGUGUAGGAGAGAGCGCUUUGUCUAGUUCGUCAUAGCUCAAGAUCAUGAGGAUGUUCUACAGAAUUAAUCAUGGAUGUAUCGACAUAUACUAUACAUAAAGGCUCAUCUAUGAUGGUUUAUGGUUUCCAGAACUGCAAUAUAUGAAUAUAUAGCGAUUGCAUCA
rnacentral:lncRNA from 1 species